UUUAAAAGUUAGGCAUAAAUAAUUAUAUAUUUUAUUUUAAAGUAGUAUUUUAUAAUAAAAACGGAAUCUUAGAAGUGGGGAUAUCAUAAAUUUUUUUCGAAUCUGAAGCGGAAUGGGUCAGGUUUAUCUGAGCUAAACGGGUAUGGAUUCGGUUGUGGUUAGAGGGAAUUUCAAAACCAACAUAUAUGGAUGCAGGUAUGGGUUUUGUAUAUGCCUGAUUCGAAUUCGACACUGGGUCGAACCAAAUCCCGAAUUCGAAUAAAGUAUAUAUAUCAUAAUGUAUUCAAAUAUAUUUAUAUAAAAUAUUUUUUUUUCUCCCUUAGUAGAUCUUUAUUCAAUG
rnacentral:lncRNA from 1 species